rnacentral:rRNA from 1 species
AACGUAGGUACCGAGCGUUAUCCGGAUUUACUGGGCGUAAAGCGUGUUCAGGCGGCCUGGCAAGUCGGGCAUGAAAUCCCUCGGCUCAACCAAGGAAGUGCAUCCGAAACUGCUGAGCUUGAGUACGUAAGAGGAUCGCGGAAUUCCCGGUGUAGAGGUGAAAUUCGUAGAUAUCGGGAGGAACAUCAGUGGCGAAGGCGGCGAUCUGGGAAGAUACUGACGCUGAGGUGCGAAAGCGUGGGGAGCAAACAGG